rnacentral:rRNA from 1 species
AUUGAACGCUGGCGGCAUGCCUUACGCAUGCAAGUCGAACGGCAGCACGGGAGCAAUCCUGGUGGCGAGUGGCGAACGGGUGAGUAAAGUAUCGGAACGUGCCCAGUCGUGGAGGAUAACGUAGCGAAAGCUACGCUAAUACCGCAUACGAUCUAUGGAUGAAAGCGGGGGAUCGCAAGACCUCGCGCGAUUGGAGCGGCCGAUAUCAGAUUAGGUAGUUGGUGGGGUAAAGGCCCACCAAGCCGACGAUCUGUAGCUGGUCUGAGAGGACGACCAGUCACACUGGGACUGAGACACGGCCCAGACUCCUGCGGGAGGCAGCAGUGGGGAAUUUUGGACAAUGGGCGCAAGCCUGAUCCAGCAAUGCCGCGUGCAGGAUGAAGGCCUUCGGGUUGUAAACUGCUUUUGUACGGAGCGAAAAGGCUCGCACUAAUACUGUGGGCUCAUGACGGUACCGUAAGAAUAAGCACCGGCUAACUACGUGCCAGCCGCCGCCGUAA